CACACAAAUAAAGUCAUGUUUGAUUAAGAACAGAGCAUGUAAAAGUAGCUUGCCGCGCAUCACAUAGUAGUGUACGUACGUUGGCAUGCAUGCAUCUUUAUAUGCGCCGAUGCGCGCGAUGUGAUCAGGUAGCUAGAGGAGGAGGAGGACUGGAGGAGGCAUGUACAGACACGAGACGAGACCACUCAUUCUCGUGUCCGUCGUCCGUCUCGCUAUGCAGGGACCAAGAAAUUAACAGCAGGCAGGCACCAGGCAGGCAGGAUGCAGGCGAAUUAACCCUGCCUGCUUGUGUCCGGCCAGCUUCUCUCCUCUGCGAUUUGAACGCGUAUCUGCUCAGUCGUAGAUCGAUUGGUCGAUGGACAAGCAAGGCCACCACCACCACGAGGUGGAUCGGACUUGGAGGAGCUAGCUGCAGUUGCAUUGCAUGCAUGCAUGCUGCGCGCAGAGAGAUCGUCGAUCGGGGAGAGGGGACCAGCAGAUGGAGGUCGGAGAUCGGACAAGCCCUAGCUAGGUUGACUCUCGCUCUGCAUGCCUGCAUCUGCAUGUGUUUGUGUGUGGCCUGUGUCGUGUGCUCGCAACGGCGUGCUCUGUCAAAGUUUGAGCGCACGCAUCAUGUUCCUUUCAUCAGUUUCUCAGCCAUUCCUGCUUCUUGUUUUACGAAUUAAUAAGGCCAGUCUCAAUGGGGUUUCAUGGGA